rnacentral:ncRNA from 19 species
ACUUGUUCUCAGGGCGGGGUGAAAGUCCCUACUGGCGGUAUCCAGUUCACACUGGGAGCCCGCGAGCGCUCCUUAUUAUAUAGGAGGACAGCAGAUCUGGUGAAAAGCCAGGGCCAACGGUAUAGUCCGGAUGAAAGAGGAUAAGG